rnacentral:snoRNA from 1 species
ACUCUCCAGAUUCCUUCCCCAUCAGAUAUAACCACUGGUCUGAGUGGUCAUAAAAGGAGGAAUAGGAACACUGAAACGGACUUACAUCCAAGCUUGGUUCAAACAAAG